AGAAUGAACGCUGGCGGCGUGCUUAACACAUGCAAGUCGCGCGCGAAAGGGGCUUCGGCCCCCGGUAGAGCGGCGAACGGGUGAGUAACACGUGGGUAAUCUGUCUGGGAGCGGGGGACAACCGUGGGGAAACUUGGGCUAAUACCGCAUACGUCCGUCGGACUUCGGUUCGGCGAGGAAAGGUGGCCUCUGCUUGCAAGCCACCACUCCCAGAGGAGCCCCGCGCCUGAUUUAGCUAGUUGGUAGGGUAACGGCCUACCAAGGCGACGAUCAGUA
rnacentral:rRNA from 1 species